CUGUAAAGGUGAAACAUUUGCUUCAUAAUGUUAGCGUUUCUUAUGUGAGGAGUUUGUCAUUUUCCUGUUUAUCUUUACUGAUAUGACCGACCUACUUUGUUAUUAAGCCUUGCGUUUAAACCCUGGAUGUAGGUAUCAGAUACGUAAAACCUUGACACGAAAACUAGUGUUUAAUUCUUUGUAGUUCGCUUCAUGAAAUAAUUAUUGGCUGCAGGAUCGUAUUGUUCAACGACGGUUAAAGUUCAACAACGGUUUUGGAGUUUUGGAGUUAAAGUUUAUGUAGAGCUGUGGCUACUUGGAUCUAUUGCAAACCAAGUCGUACAGACGUAUUAUAAACACAUAAUUCAUUUCGUUUAGGUAUUUUGGAGCUUGAGCUUGCAAAACAAUACACACCAUUUAGUUAUUUGGAGCUGGCGUUAUUCGGAGCUGAAGUUAUUCAGAGCUGAAGUUAUUCUGAGCUGGAAUUAUUUGGAGUUAUUUGGAACUGGAGUUAUUUGGAGCGAGUUAUUUGGAGCUAAAAUUAUUUGGAGCUGAAGUUAUUUGAAGCUGAAGUUAUUUGGAGCUGGAGUUAUUUGUAGCUGAAGUUAUUUGGAGCUUGUGUUUAUUUGAAGCUUUAACUUACCAAGUCGUGUGUACAGACAAUUUAUUUCAAACACUUUUAACAUGGAUAACAAAAUAUUCAUAACAAUGAACAUUGCGAAGGAGGACAUGGUCCGCAACAAAUUUCUGAACCUUAAUUCAUGGAAAAGCAAUGGGCCGCUCUCAAAAGAGGCUUUACUGAAACUUGUCGUCGGGACUAAUACACUGAUAUGUACACCGACGGACGAUGUUGGCAUGGAUGUUCUGAACGCAGCAGGACCGAGUCUGCAAGCAAUCUGCACCAUUUCUCCGACGACCGAUCACAUCGACGUCAAUGAGUGCCGUAAACGGAACGUCGCCGUCGUGGAUAUGCCCUAUGCAACCGUCGACAACGCUUAUGACCUCACAUUGAAUAUUCUAGAACGUUUGAAUGCGCAUCAACUAAUGAUCAUAAGCCCAGAUGUCUCGCCGUCAAAGACGUAUUCAGACACGUUAUGCCCCGUCUGCUUUGACCGUGAACGUAACGUCGCCUUCCAGUGCAAUCACAGCGCAUGCGACAGGUGCGCGCGGCGCCUGACGUCAUGUUUCAUGUGCCGAGAACCGGUACUGUCAUUGGUGGCUUUGUAUAAUCUGGAUCGCUAGACAAGUGUUCAGGUGUUGGAAUUCCACAAAGCAAAGCAUAUAAUGGAAGCACAAGGUAGACUCUGUCUCUUGUGAACUUCAUGUUGCCUUCCAAUGAGCGACGGACGACGUCAUGCCACAAUUGCCGUUGGAUGGUGCUUUUAUUCGUUGCGUUGUAUUUCUCGGAUCGCUGAUGGAAACCAAUACAGCGUUCUCUCAAUACGAAAAGUUGUAAAAUAGUUUUGUAAUGUGAAUGGACUAUAUAACGUUGACUGCGUCACUGCGUUGAUGGACCAUGGUAGUUUGUUGACCCCAAGCUCAGCCACUCUUGCAAGGUCAACUAUAGUCCUAUACUAGAUACACAACGAACGCCUGUGUAAGGACUGUGGGCGGUGGUCAUCAUGCAUACGUGUAUUGUGUAAUUAUAAAUAACGUUGAUAUGCAUUUAUGAAAAAUGUAAUUGUGUUUCCUCAGCAAUUGGUGGAUACUGAAUAGUUCAGCGUACGUCGGCCGAGUCUACAAGCAAUCUGUACCAUUUCUCCGACCACCGAUCACAUCGACGUCAAUGAGUGCCGUAAACGGAACGUCGCCGUCGUGAAUAUGCCCUAUGCCAGCGUUGACAACGCAUAUGACCUUACGUUGAAUAUUCUAGAGCGUUUGAAUGCGCAUCAACUAAUGAUCAGAAGCCCAGAUGUGUCGCCGUCAAAGACGUAUUCAGAAACGUUAUGCCCCGUCUGCUUUGACCGUGAACGUAACGUCGCCUUCCAGUGCAGCCACAGCGUGCCGAGAACCGGUGCUGUCAUUGGUGGCUUUGUAUAACCUGGAUCGCUAGACAACUGUGCAAUUGUUGGCAUUCCCCAAAGCAAAACAUAAAACGGAAGGAACAUGUGAGACUCUGCCUCUGACGUGAACGUCACGUUGCCUUCCAUUGCGCAACGUAUGACGUCAUGCCACAUCUGCCAAUGAUCGGUGCUUGUAUUGUUGACGUUGUAUUACUACCAAUACAACGUCCUCUCAAUUGUCAAAGUUGUAUAAUAGUAAUGUAAUGUGAAUGGACUUUGUAACGUGGACUGCGACGAUGGACCAUGGUAGUUUGUUGAUCCAAAGCUCAGCAACUCUUGCAAGGUCUACUAUAGUCUUAUUAUGCCAGAUACACAACGAACAUGUGUGUAAGGAUUGUGGGUGGUGGUCACUAUGCCAUCGUGUAUUGUGCAAUUAUAAAUAACGUUAAUAUGCAUUAAUGCGAAAUGUAAUCGUUUUCCCCAGCAAUUGCAGGAUAUUGAAUAUUUCAACGUACGUCGUACGCAUUUACAAUGUAGCUUGUUCAAUAAAGUUUGUUAAACAAUUUUAGAUUAUGUUUAUUAAUAGUUUGCAUGCAAAUUCAGUUAUUAUUCUUGAACUCUGU